GAUGAAGAACGUAGCGAAAUGCGGUAAGUAAUGUGAAUUGCAGAAUUCAGUGAAUCAUCGAAUCUUUGAACGCACAUUGCGCCCCCUGGUAUUCCGGGGGGCAUGCCUGUUCGAGCGUCAUUUCACCACUCAAGCCUCGCUUGGUAUUGGGCAACGCGGUCCGCCGCGUGCCUCAAAUCGUCCGGCUGGGUCUUCUGUCCCCUAAGCGUUGUGGAAACUAUUCGCUAAAGGGUGUUCGGGAGGCUACGCCGUAAAACAACCCCAUUUCUAAGGUUGACCUCGGAUCAGGUAGGGAUACCCGCUGAACUUAAGCAUAUCAAUAAGCGGAGGA
rnacentral:misc_RNA from 1 species